rnacentral:misc_RNA from 1 species
GAUGAAGAACGCAGCGAAAUGCGAUAAGUAAUGUGAAUUGCAGAAUUCAGUGAAUCGUCGAAUCUUUGAACGCACAUUGCGCCCGCCAGUAUUCUGGCGGGCAUGCCUGUUCGAGCGUCAUUACAACCCUCAGGCCCCCGGGCCUGGCGUUGGGGAUCGGCGGAAGCCCCCUGCGGGCACAACGCCGUCCCCCAAAUACAGUGGCGGUCCCGCCGCAGCUUCCAUUGCGUAGUAGCUAACACCUCGCAACUGGAGAGCGGCGCGGCCACGCCGUAAAACACCCAACUUCUGAAUGUUGACCUCGAAUCAGGUAGGAAUACCCGCUGAACUUAAGCAUAUCAAUAAGCGGAGGA